GAGGAUAUAGCUCAAAUGGUAGAGUGUGUGCUUAGCAUGCGCGAGGUCCUGGGUUCAAUCCCCAGCACCUCCU
rnacentral:tRNA from 1 species